CUAGUACUCCCUCCAUCCGGAAAUACUUGUCAUCAAAAUGAAUAAAACGGGAUGUAUCUAGAUGUAUAUUAGUUCUAGAUACAUCUUUUUUAUCCAAUUUGAUGACAAGUAUUUUCGGACGGAGGGAGUACUUC
rnacentral:pre_miRNA from 1 species